GGGAGAAGGUUGCUGUUUUCCAAGUCUCUUUGAAAGAUUCCGGAAAAGCUAGGCGGGGCUGCAAUGAAGUAAUUAAACGCAAAUGGAGUUUGCAUACAGUGAUCAUAAUAAGCUCAGAGCUGGGCUAACAGGGCAUGGAAUUAUAGUGCCCACUCUAAUCAUUGGAGACAACUUUUCAAAAUGAGUGGUAGUGCCUGCCAAAUGACUAAAAUAUGACUAAAUGUGUCUGGUGUGGGUGAGGAUAACGAGACACUACCAAGCCAUCUGUCACGUGUGGAGAGCCGCUUCAGGAAAUUAAUAGCCACACCAAGAGUGUGGAUUUGUGGCACUAUUUAAAUAUGUUCUUUUCAGUGUCACAGUUUCGAGACGUUACGUGACAUGCAGGUCAUUGAUAAGUGCAUGU